rnacentral:rRNA from 1 species
AGAGUUUGAUCCUGGCUCAGAUUGAACGCUGGCGGCAUGCUUUACACAUGCAAGUCGAGCGGCAGCGCGGGGGCAACCCUGGCGGCGAGCGGCGAACGGGUGAGUAAUACAUCGGAACGUACCCAGUAGUGGGGGAUAACACAUCGAAAGAUGUGCUAAUACCGCAUACGACCUGAGGGUGAAAGGGGGGGAUCGCAAGACCUCUCACUAUUGGAGCGGCCGAUAUCGGAUUAGCUAGUUGGUGGGGUAAAGGCCUACCAAGGCGACGAUCCGUAGCCGGUUUGAGAGGACGACCAGCCACACUGGGACUGAGACACGGCCCAGACUCCUACGGGAGGCAGCAGUGGGGAAUUUUGGACAAUGGGGGCAACCCUGAUCCAGCCAUCCCGCGUGUGCGAAGAAGGCCUUCGGGUUGUAAAGCACUUUUGGCAGGGAAGAAAAGGUUCUGGAUAAUACCUGGAGCCGCUGACGGUACCUGCAGAAUAAGCACCGGCUAACUACGUGCCAGCCGCCGCGGUAAUAC